GCGCCUACCCAAGUAACCAUCCAGCACUAAAAGAAAUCAUAAAUUAGUUGGUAAACGGCAUGCACCAGCUAAUCAGCUAUAAAACAGCUAAGGUGAUAGCAAAUCAGCUCUAAAACAACUGCUCUAAUAAAAGCUGGAAUAGAGCUGAUUUAAAGCAAACGCUGGCAACACUGUUCUGAUUUUUCUUUGAAAAACUGGCAGCACUGUUAGAAUUUUGGGAGCGAGUGCGAGAGUGAGCGAGAAGAAAAACAAAAUGAUGCACAACUCUCGCUCGCUCGUUCGUAAUUUCAUCAACAUGGCAAUAAAAAUCAAAACCGGGAAAAGUUGCAGCAUUUUCUGCCAAUUUCGAAGCAGGAAAUCAAGAAUUGGAACUUCAAAGUGGGAUCUACGCUGAGGGAAUAUCAUUCAUUCUUUGGACAUUGGCUGGAAAGGUGUUUUAAAAAUUAACAAUUUCUAAGCUGAUUCAUCCGACUUUGGAAGCGGUCAUGGCGUGGUCGUGGUGCUCCUGCUGCAGGUUCAAGAUAAAGUGUUCUGAAUAGCUUGGAUAACUGUGCAAUACUUGAAUACAAUUCAUGAAUAAAUGUGUUUGAGCCUGAUCAAAUUGUUUAAUGUUCUUAUCUCUCAAAGAAACAUAAUUACUCAUGGCUUCGAGUGACACAAAUUUAGACAAAGACUUUGCUAUCAUGAUUACGAGAGUUACUUAUGAUAAGUAGCAGUAAUUGAAACAGUCCAAUCACAACGUUUGAACAUUCCCCAAACAGGCGUGACGACACGGGCGCAGGAACCAUCAGUAAACCACUUCUGGAAUCUGGCAUCACAUCCCCAACAAAGCAAGUUCAAUCAAAUAAAUCGGCUUCUCCGCUCGGUCAGCUGAGUCGGUAACAUGGUAAACAAACUAAAAAUAGAAUUGAGAGAAGAGUGUGAGAGAGCAAUAUUUUUACCUCUCUCAACUUUGUUGACAUUUUGCAGGGGUGGAACAACAACAGUAGGGGCCAGCUGGAAAUCAGAAAUAUAAAGUCCAAAAUUAGCUGCAAAUCAGCUGCAAAAGCGCUUUUCAUGCAGAUGUCAAAACUCUUUAGCAUUAGCUCGCAGCUGUUAAAGCGCUUUUAGUGCUGAACAGUGAUUUGUUUUAGUGCUGUUUGGUUACUUGGGUAGAUUUGCGUUAAUUUCGAGCAGGUUUCUCAUAUGCGACACAAAGUGAUCCCAUACAUAACGUGUUCUUCGUCACGGUAUUAUCGUCGUUCACUUUUACUAAAAUGGAUGUACAAACUUCUUGCAGCUCCAUAUCAACU